rnacentral:rRNA from 1 species
UACGUAGGGGGCAAGCGUUAUCCGGAUUUACUGGGUGUAAAGGGAGCGUAGGCGGCUUAGUAAGUCAGAAGUGAAAGCCCGCAGCUCAACUGCGGGACUGCUUUUGAAACUACCAGCUAGAGUGUCGGAGAGGUAAGUGGAAUUCCAUGUGUAGCGGUGAAAUGCGUAGAUAUAUGGAGGAACACCGGUGGCGAAAGCGGCUCUCUGGCCUGUAACUGACACUGAGGCUCGAAAGCGUGGGGAGCAAACAGG